UUCCUAUCCACAUUCUGAUUUCUCUUUUUGUCAUUUCAGCCUGGUUAAGAACCAUUGCUGGGGAACUACUGCAGUUGUUUGGAGAAAUAAAGCAGUGAAGUGACUAAAACAGCAGAAAACAAAAUCUUCUUGAGUAAAGUACUCUUGGCAGUAGACUUUAUGAUGUGGUACAACAUCAGGAAAAAAUAAACCCAGCAGACAGAUGGUCUCCAGAGAGAAAUAACCAUAAACUCUGAAACUACUACACAUGAAAGUACCUGCCCAAGGAAUAGAGAAGACAGAUGUUUCUCUAGGGAUUGACCUACAAUGGCACUUGUUGCUCUUGGUGACCAGAGCUAAAAGAAAGCUGAAAGCCAGCAUCAGUGUGUGAAGUCACUGAAGUAUUUUAUAGAUCAGAAAAGUUGGCAAGCGAUGGACACUAGACAACACAAACUUCCUCUCUCCAAAAAUAUAUUCACAGUCAGCUUUAAAGCUGUAGUCACUCCUCUGGGGUCUGAAUAAACAUGGCCAUUCUUGAUAGACAUGUUGACUGAUGGACUGAGAGAUAUAGAUACAUGCCAUGAGAUCUCUUUAUGAGUGGUCUUAUGGAUAUCUGCAUGACCUCUGCUGAAGUAAAAUACUGUGGUUCGUGAGAAGACGUGACCUUUGGAUACAGCUGGUCUAGUCCUGGCUCUGCUGUGUCAGUGAAAGUGGAACAGUUACAUGGCUCUCCCGAAUCUCUGUUUUCACUUGGUUAAAUGAGGGUUACAUGUACUUACUUCCAGUGUUGUUAUGAGAAUUAAAUGAGAUUAAAUGUUAAAAUUUGUGAGCGGUCAAUAUAUGUACUUCUUUUCUCCCCCUCAGUCUCUUAAGAAUAUUCUACACCAGUAUUGCAGAAUAAAGAAAAAUGGAUAUGUUAAUUUGUUUGAUAUAAUCAUUCCACAAUGUAUACAUAUAUCAGGUGGGGAGCAGUGGCUCAUGCCUGUAAUCCCAGCACUUUGGGAGGCCGAGGCAGGCAGAUCACUUGAGGCCAGAAGUUCGAGACCAGCCUGUCAACAUGGCAAAAACCUGUCUCUACUAAAAAAUUUAAAAAUU
rnacentral:lncRNA from 10 species